rnacentral:ncRNA from 1 species
UUUCCCUCAGGAUAGCUGGCGCUCUCGCAACCCUGCAGUUUUAUCCGGUAAAGCGAAUGAUUAGAGGUCUUGGGGCCGAAAAUGAUCUCAACCUAUGCUCAAACAUUAAUAACUCUUAAUUGAAAGAUAAGUUUAAAAAAAUUAAAAUUUUUACCAAACGCAAUCUUCU